rnacentral:rRNA from 1 species
GAUGAACGCUGGCGGCGUGCCUAAUACAUGCAAGUCGAGCGAACAGACGAGGAGCUUGCUCCUCUGACGUUAGCGGCGGACGGGUGAGUAACACGUGGAUAACCUACCUAUAAGACUGGGAUAACUUCGGGAAACCGGAGCUAAUACCGGAUAAUAUAUUGAACCGCAUGGUUCGAUAGUGAAAGACGGUUUUGCUGUCACUUAUAGAUGGAUCCGCGCCGCAUUAGCUAGUUGGUAAGGUAACGGCUUACCAAGGCGACGAUGCGUAGCCGACCUGAGAGGGUGAUCGGCCACACUGGAACUGAGACACGGUCCAGACGCCUACGGGAGGCAGCAGUAGGGAAUCUUCCGCAAUGGGCGAAAGCCUGACGGAGCAACGCCGCGUGAGUGAUGAAGGUCUUCGGAUCGUAAAACUCUGUUAUUAGGGAAGAACAAAUGUGUAAGUAACUAUGCACGUCUUGACGGUACCUAAUCAGAAAGCCACGGCUAACUACGUG